rnacentral:rRNA from 1 species
CUGGCUCAGAACGAACGCUGGCGGCGCGUUUUAAGCAUGCAAGUCGAGCGGCAAGGGCCUUCGGGCCCUAGAGCGGCGGACGGGUGAGUAACACGUGGACAAUCUGCCCCCCGGCCCGGGAUAGCCCAGGGAAACCUGGAUUAAUACCGGAUGAGACGGGACCCGCGAUGGCGGGACCCGGGAAAGGCGCUGCGGCGCCGCCGGGGGAUGAGUCUGCGUCCCAUUAGCUAGACGGCGGGGUAACGGCCCACCGUGGCGACGAUGGGUAGCCGGCCUGAGAGGGUGGACGGCCACAUUGGAACUGAGACACGGUCCAGACUCCUACGGGAGGCAGCAGCUAAGAAUCUUCCGCAAUGGGCGAAAGCCUGACGGAAGCGACGCCGCGUGAACGAAGAAGGCCGUGAGGUUGUAAAGUUCUUUUGGGAGGGGGAACAACCGUGGCAGGGAAUGGCCGCGGGAUGACGUGAAUCCCGGAAUAAGCCCCGGCUAACUACGUGCCAGCCGCCGC